CCACCCGAUCCCAUCUCGAACUCGGCCGUGAAACCGGACAGCGCCGAUGGUACUAGUGCUCAAGCACUGGAAGAGUAGGUCGUCGCCAGGC
rnacentral:rRNA from 1 species